GUCGAACGAGAAAGUGGAGCAAUCCAUGAGUAAAGUGGCGCACGGGUGAGUAACACGUGACUAACCUACCCUUGAGUGGGGAAUAACCUAGGGAAACCUGGGCUAAUACCGCAUAACACCUACGGGUCAAAGGAGCAAUUCGCUUAAGGAGGGGGUCGCGGCAGAUUAGCUAGUUGGCGGGGUAAUGGCCCACCAAGGCAGUGAUCUGUAUCCGGCCUGAGAGGGCGCACGGACACACUGGAACUGAAACACGGUCCAGACUCCUACGGGAGGCAGCAGUGGGGAAUUUUGCGCAAUGGGGGAAACCCUGACGCAGCAACGCCGCGUGGAGGAUGAAGUCCCUUGGGACGUAAACUCCUUUCGACCGGGAAGAUUAUGACGGUACCGGAAGAAGAAGCCCCGGCUAACUUCGUGCCAGCAGCCGCGGUAAUACGAGGGGGGCAAGCGUUGUUCGGAAUUAUUGGGCGUAAAGGGUGCGUAGGCGGUUCGGUAAGUCUUAUGUGAAAUCUUCGGGCUCAACUCGAAGUCUGCAUGAGAAACUGCCGGGCUUGAGUGUGGGAGAGGUGAGUGGAAUUUCCGGUGUAGCGGUGAAAUGCGUAGAUAUCGGAAGGAACACCUGUGGCGAAAGCGGCUCACUGGACCACAACUGACGCUGAUGCACGAAAGCUAGGGGAGCAAACAGGAUUAGAUACCCUGGUAGUCCUAGCCCUAAACGAUGAUCGCUUG
rnacentral:rRNA from 1 species